rnacentral:lncRNA from 1 species
UGUCAGUCCUCAAAUAUUUAUUAAAUAGCUACUUUCUGGCAGGCCCAGCACUGAAGAUACAGGAUUUUCUAAACUCCAAAGACUAGAAUUCAAUCCAAAUCGUUGAUUCAGGUUAGGUGGGGAAAUAAAUAUGAAUGUAUACCCUUAAACAGCCUCAAGAGAAAUACCUGUGCAGUGUCAAAGUUUUUACUAUUAUUACAAAGAAAACAUUGCUACUCAUGUACAAAACAAACUAUGAUCCAUUAACUCAACACAGAAGCUCCUUUUGGCUCCAUAAAAGCUGGCACCCAAACAAGUUUUGUAGUCACACUGCCGAAAAAUACCUGACCAAUACAUUUUAACGUUCUUGUUUUCUUUCGGACAUAUUUCAGUAAUUGCCUGUCUGCAGGUACAAGAUGCUUACAGGAAGUGAUUAAUCUUUCAUGAGACUAUUCUACUCUUCCUUAAUUCAGUACAAUAAAAGCUUGAAGGAGCAGGCACCCUCAUGUCAGUGCAUGCUUCAAGGACCAGCAAUUUUAAUGGGAGAUAAGGCUGAUCACAUGAUAGCUGUCAAUGAUGAAAUCUCUUUCUUAAAAGAGGCCAGAUGGGAUCCUCAGACAUCAUGAAACACUACAGCUGGAAGCUGAAUGGUUGAUCUAUACCCCUAGCCCCCUACAUGGAGAUACUAGAGAUGAGAAAGGCUCUUGUUUGCUGUAUGAAGCAGGUGUGGUUGAACUAAAUGGGGAGAAGAUGUCCAGCUGGAAGAACCCAUCAACCAGCUGCCCAGGGCAGUCUGCUUAGAUAAAUACCACCUGUUACUAAACGGCCAGCGAAAAAUUAGUCAUAUCCCAGGAACCUGCUGAUUCUCUGUCUAUUGUGCUGAGGCUUUUGUAUCUUUCAACAUCCUAAAUCCCAUGUGUAUCUCAAAGCAAUGGUCAUAUUCCCUGUGCUUAAUUUGAUUCUGGACAAUGACAGAGGGUUUUCCAGCAUUAGACUAAAGUAUUUUCUUGGGGCUGGGAGCACAUACAUGAGAGAAGAAUAAGAAUAAACAACACACAGAAGAAGAGGGCAAUGAUCCCAAGUGGCAUCUUUUAACAUGACAGUCUCAGUGCCCUGUAGAGGCUGGCCACCUUGAAAGAUGAUGCACAGCACCAUCUUCUACACCCUAUUCCAUCUUUCUCACUGUUCCCAAGCAGGACCAACCUCUUCUCGAGCACUAAGUAUGACUGCUAAAUACACAGACGACAAGCACACCUGCAUACACACACACAUGGACACACACUCACUCUUUUGCUUAUGCCAUUCCCACACCUGGGAAUGUCCUCUCCUGAAUUUUCCAAAUCCCACUCUUCAAAACCCAAAUCAAAUCCUGCUUCUCCUGGAGACAUCACUAAAAUUUUUGGCCCAAAAUAAUUUCCUCUAAACUGAUAACAGCACUGAAAAUCCACAAUGUACAUUUUGCCACUUUAACCUGUUGUUUUCUACUCUUGUCCCAAGUAAGUCUCAUGUCCCCAACAAGACUCCUUGAAGAUAGAACCCAUCCCUCUGUGGUCUAACCCAUCAUCCAAACAAGGUUAUGUCAAUUCAGUAUAUAUGUUCUAAACUGAAAGGAUGCUAACUUCAAAAAUUAUUAUAGGAUAAUGGGAAAAUAAAAUGGUAGAUCUAAAUAGAGAUCCCACUGGAAAGGCCUUUAAUGAUUUUUGCUUCAAGUUUACUAGAGGUCAGUGUGCUGGAAGCCCUGGACAUGUAGUCAGAAAGAUUGAGACUGAAUUCUGGUUUUCCUACUUAUUAACUUUAUGGUAUUCAUUAUUUUAUUUUUAACAGUAUCCAUUUAUUCAUUUGUAAAAUGGAACCAAUAAUUAGAAAGUCAGGAGACCGCUGGAAAUCUCCAAUGAGGCAGUUUAUAACUAUAGUGUUCAUGUGCAUUACCAAAAUUAAGCAUUAAUCCUUCAUUCUUUAGUCAAUUGCACAAUUCCCUCAACAUCACACAAAUCAAAAUUUGUUUGAUUAGAACAAAAUGACAUCCUAGACUGAAUUUUUAGGCUUCACAAACUUGGCUAUCAGAAUCAUUGGGGGACCUUGUUAAACUACAGAUUGCUGCUAGAUCCUAAUUUUGGAGAUUCUGAUUUAGUUGGUCUGGGUGGGCCCACAUGAAUCUAACAAUUAGCCAGUUAAAUCAUGUGUUAAAUCAUGUUUGUUCACAUUUAUUUUGCCUAGUAUGUGACUAAUAAAUAGUUCUUGGGAUUGUGGGCUCUUAAAAACAUAUCUUAAACUUUAGUAAACAUAUUAAUAAUGAUGUAUGGUGCUAUCCAACUUAAAAACAGGUUUUAUCUCCUAAAUAUUUUCUAUAAUUAAACUUCACAGUCACAGUCACACACACACAUACAUACGCAUAUGCAGGAGGUUAAUGUGGGGUGUGUGUAUGUGUGCAUGUGUGUGUGUGAAUUUCCUGGAGGUAUGUGCUGUAAUUACCCACCAUUCCGGAACCUCUCAUAUAUCAAUUUAUCUCUGUAAUCUGAUCAUUUGCUGCAGUUAGGGUAUGUCCCAUUUCUAUUCCUCUGCAAAGUUCACUCAUGUUUGUAAAAUAAUUACUCCAACUAAGAAAUAAGACAGUACAUUUUUUAAAAGAAAAAAACAUAACAUAUCAAAGAAAAAGACAAAAUCCUAAAUGCAUGCAAUUUACUUUUUAAAGAAGCGGCUUUGGACCCUUUUCUACCCUGACAUCUGCCUGGUUCAAGCAGCCUUGAAAUGAGAGUUCAGGCACUUCUAAGAAUGUUCUCAAUCCAGGGCAUUUGGUCCCUCAGUCGGGUAGGAGUCAAGGCAAUCAACAGUGGUUUAGACUAAACAGGAAGAGACCCAGCUCAAUUAACGGGACAGACACAGGAAUAGUCAUCGCAUUUAGAAACAAUGAAAAUUUGAAAAGCAUUUUGUUGCCAAUAGUCAGCUAAUACACACACAGGUAGACAAUUACACUGUCCAUCCCUUUCAAAUGUGUCCGGUAAAUUCACAAGAUUUACAAUCACUGUAUUGCAUCUAAGUUCUCCCACAGAGAGUUCAUGAAAAUUAACUCAAUCUCUUAUUUAAAAUCAUCCCAGACAUGAUUACGAUACAGAGAAAACCAAGCAUCCCUCUGCCUGGGCUCUUCCAGUGUAAGGAAAGCCACUAACUCUUUCACAGGAGCAGAUUGUUUCAACUUAAUUGAAUGAAGUAAACUUGGGGAAAUACCUGACAUUGCCAACUUGACCUCUGCUAAGCCUUUUGAACUUCAAUCACUGUCCUCCAACACAAAGCCUUCUAUUAGGCUUUCAGCUAUUUCCCCUGAUUACACAGGUAGCUUAUCUUAAGGAUUCCAAGGUUUCAGUUAUCAUUUCUGACCUUAUUGUGAGACAAGUAUUAUUUCCGUGCUGGGUUUUAUGACUAAGCCUCCAGAGCUAUUUGCUGGUUUGAUUGAGUAAAGAGCAUCUCAUUUCAGUUUCUUAUCCACCAAGACCCCAUAACUUAUUCUAAAGAAGGAAAAGUGGUUUUAGUUUAUGAGAAUACUAGUGAAAAAGCUCAAAUAAAUUAGCACUAGUUAGAAACUGUCCAAAAUCAUAAUCUUUGGUUUUUUGUAUAGAUUUCAAAAUUAAAAAUGUAAUUUGGAACAUGGGGCAAUAAAGAUGAAAAUUGUUUCCAAUAACAAAGUGCAGAUGGUAAAAAACAAAAUGGCUUGAAUGUCUCUAACAAACAGAAUUAUUCUUCUUCUCACUCCCUUGCAGAAGUAGUUUUGAAUAUAUUGCCCAACCUGGUAAAUAAAAGGUGCUUCAAAUCUGAGUUAACAGCUAACUUUCUUAUUCUUAAUUCUAGAUUUUAUGUGCCUUUUAGAAAUAUACCAGACAAAUUUAAAAUAUGGGAAAACAUUUAGAAUUCAUCCAACUCUUAAUUGCAAAGUAAAACAAAUAUAAUUUUCUCUCAGCAGAUUGUCAGUGAUUAAAAAGACUGCUAACAGCCAGUGCCAGCAAAUACGAGGGGGAAAUACACUCUCAUAUACUGUGGGAGGACAAAUUACUACAAAUUCUGUGGAAAAUGAUUUAUUUGUAAUAUCUACUGAAAUGCAAAAUAUGCAUACCUGGCAAGGCUAUCCACUGAAGAAUUGUUUACAAUAUCAAAAAGAGGGAAAAAUUUAAGCAGAGGUUCAAAGUUCAGUGUUUAAUAGUAACAAUACAAAGUGUGCAUAGUACAUUUUAAGUAAGUAAAACUCAAAAUACAUUCUAGAUAAAUAUAUGUAAUAAUAUUCCAAUUUAGGGUAUCAAAUGUGUAUGUGUGUGUGUGUGUGUGUAUAUAUGUAUAUGUAUAUAUAUAUGUAUAUACAUAUGUGUAUAUAUGUAUAUAUAUGUAUAUAUGUGUAUAUAUAUGUGUGUGUGUGUAUAUAUAUAUAUAUAUAUACUGAAGAAACAGGAAGGAUAUAUAUCAAAUAGCUAACCAAGUUAUUAACCUUGAGAGGAGAAAAUGUAUGUAAGAGAUACUCAGCUUCUUAUUUUAUAAAAUCCAAACACAUAUGGAGGGAUGAGAGUGAUUUUUAUAUUUUAGUACAUUUCAAAACAUUUUUAACCUAGAAAAGUACUUUAGAAAUCAGAAACCUAUAUCUAAGUAAAUAUUAAAAGAAGUAAAUAUCUAUUCUUGUCAUCUGCAGAUAAAACCUCUAUGAAAUAAAUGAGCUCUUAAUUUUGGGGGAACUACAUUUGUUAAAACGAGUUACAUCAAGUUGGACUCUGCCUUUGCCAUUUCUUGGUGUCCAGUUAGUCUAAAUAAACAUGCAUAAUUCAUUUAUUUUUGCAUAUUUGAAAUACGAAUUUGCUGAGGGGACACAUGCAUUGCUUAAUUCUCUUCCCCUGUGUUAUAAUAAGCUUGCAUAGUAAUUGCAAAGGUUUCCUCUAGAAACUUUAUUGUGUUGUUUGGUCCAUUGAAUGGAAAUUUUAUCUUCUUUUAAGUGGAAUUGUGCAGGAUUAAGGGAUAGAAUACUAAAAUAGUUGCAAUAAGCCUUUUGUCUAUGAGUUGUUUUGCUUUACAAAAAUAAAACAUCGUAUUUAUUGUCCCAAAUCCUACAGAAAUGGAUUGUCACAUAGCAGGGUUUUCUUCAUAUUUUCCAAAACUGUAUACCUUAUUGCUAAGCUGCCCAAAUUUCUUAUCAAAUUAAAAAUAUGAACAUCAGCCCAUCAAACAAGUCUCUAUAGCCCCCUAAGUGUCAUAGAGAGAUGUUAGUAUUGGCAAGAAAAGUUCAUGAAGUCUAUUACUUCUGCCAAAAUUGCCUGGAAUUUCCUGGCAUUCCAUUUCAACAGAAUAUCAGUUUAACAGUAUGGCUGACCAAUGCUCAACCAGGCAAGGGUCUUAAGAGUUAAUAUUUAUUAUAAUAUCCACACAAUUAAGACAACAUAUAACUCUAAAGUAAUUUUAUACAUACAAAAAUACUUGCAAACUAAUAUGUUUAUCAAUUUUUUUCUUCUCUUUUUCCCCUUCACUUUUUAAAUAACACUACUUAUGUGGCCUUGAGAAAUUUGUUUAACUUUUCUGAGAUUUGGUUUCUCAUCCACAAAAUGGGGAUAAUAUUAUCAUAAUAAAUGUUUACCAUGAGAAUCGGGUAAGUAUGUUGCUUAGAACAGCUCAACAAGUGCUCCAUAAAUGGUAGUUCCUGAUAUAACUAAUAGAUAC